ensembl:lncRNA
GGGGGACUGGGGUGGGGAUGGCAGAGGCGGCGCCAGCGGCUGGAGGGGGCUGACUGUGAGAGAGCCUGGGGCGCCGUCGGGAGCACGAGUCUCCGGUGGGUGUAGGCGCAGUUGGGGUCAGCGAGGGCUGAGGGUCUGUGGUCACCGCGGGUUUGGGCCGCUGACGUUUGUUGGGAGGGGAGUGUGUGGGGCGCAUGCUCAGCGCGUCCCAUGUGUAACCCCCGUCACUUCUCCCAACGUUGGAUGAGAUGGGAACUGUUAUUCCCAUUUGUCACACGAGGAAACCGAGGUCCACAGAGCCGAAGGAUCUUGGGCAGGGCGUGGGGGCUGGAGUUCAAAUUAAACGCCCUCACAGCUUGUAUCGGGUUUCUCACCCCGUCCCAGCCACCUAGUCACCACUGGUGCUGUCGGGAUUGAGGUCCCCUUCUGCAGACAGGGAAACUGAGGCCCAGGCACUUCCGCUGGACCCACGGCCCCAGUCCCAAGGGAGUGGUGGCUCCUCUUCCCGCUGCCGGCUGGGUCCAGGCGCAGCCCCCUGGCUGUCCUGUGGGGCUGUGGUCGUGCUGUCCUCUCCGUUGCUCUUGGAGUGUUGGGGGGGGGGGGCCCUCUGAGCGUGGAGAUUCUGCGCUUGCUUCAGAAGACCGUUAUACUGGCUGGUUGAGAUCAGUGCAGUGGGGCACGCUGGUGUACACGACCCUGUGUACGUCCCAGAAUUUUACUCAGGUGCAUCGGGACAACUUGGUUCCCAGUGGCAGACACCCAGCUCAAACUGGCGCUAGUCAAGGCAAGGGGAUUUAUGGGCUUGUUAAACUGGGACAUCCCAGAACACAGUGACGUCAGGCAAGGCUGGAUCAAGUCGAACAAGGACGCAAUCAGAACACGUUGUCUCUCUCCAUCUCUGUGUUGGCUUCAUCCUCAGGCAAGAUUUCUCCAAAUGACAGCAAAGACAGAGCAGGGCAGUUACACCUGACAUCUUUCCAGCUUAGCAAGCCCAGCCACAGACAGAUUCUUUUUCAAGCCACAGUCCCAGGGCCGUCUUUCACUGGAUGAUGGGGAUCAUGUAUCCAUCCCUGAACCAACCAUGUAGCCAGGGGAUGGAAGUGAGCCAAACUGCCUGUGCUGACAGCAGGAACGAAGGAGUUUUCUAAAGAAAAUAAGGGGCACUGAAGUCAGAGUAAGGGAGAGUGGGUGGCAGGCAGGGCUGGAUCAAGGGGCUCAGAAGAGAUGCUGGUGUAGUUGACCCUACUGUGUAACAGAGUUCUUCCUUCAUUUGAGGACUUUGAGAGGGGACUCUGGCUGAGGGGCUGAGGAGGCCUUGUGGGGGGACUAGUAUGGAAGGGCAGUGAAGAGAGAUGGCCUGUGACAGUGGCCUAGAGUCACAAACAUAAGAAGGGGCCCACAAGACAGGCCGUGGGUUUCCCCAGAUAGGUCCAGGUGGUGGCUGGUGAGUGGUGUGGGAACCAAGGAUGCUUGGCUGGACGUCAGAGGACGUGUCACUGCAUUCGGGGGCUGGGUGGCACCACGGCAGCUGUUUUCCCUUCUGACCUACCCCUGAGGUCUGGCGUUUGAACGUGCCAGAGUCCAAGCAGCCAGGGGAGGCCGCUUUUCACCCGUCACAUGGGCAGCGUUGAAAGCGUCGUCAUGCGCGGAGGAGGGUGUGGGAAGUGGGGUCCUUGGUGCUACUGGAGGGAGUGCCCUGGGCUACAGCCUCCUGGGAGGCCACUGGGGAGCAGCUAGUGAAUUUAAAAAGUGCGUUUUCUGUGGUCCAACAUCCUUGGUGUCUGCCCUGGAAAGCCACCCCAAUCCCUGCGCGAGAAGGCCAGUGCAGGACGUAACAGUGAAAAAGCAUCAGAAGCUGUCUGAUUGUCCAUCUGUGGCUGACCAGCUGACCCAGGGCCACGUGUAUGGUUGGUCGUGCUGGCUGUGGGCAAGGACGCGGGUGAGGGUGGGAGCCCCCCCACCCUGUUUGCUCAUCUGUGAUUCCUGGAGUGGGGCCAUGUCCCAGGGGGAAACGGGUGCCUUUCCUAAGACCCACCAGGUGCUGUGGAAGCUGGUGGCCGCCCUGGACUGACCACACUGCGAUACACCGAAAAGAUGAAACACCACAUUGAAGUGAGAAAGAAUGGACUAGAUCCGGGUGUACCCACGUACUCAGACGUGUUGUUGAGUGAAAAAAUUGAGAAAAAAGCAGAAAGUGGAAAAAAACCCCACACAACAGCAAUACACUGACAUCUACCACGUGCACACCCAGACAGACUUUCGUCUUCUCCUCCGUGCCCCUUGAUGCAGUCUUGCCUGCCAUCCACUCUCCCUUUCUCUUCUCUCCUUUAGAAAAAUCCCACUUUGUCCCUGUGAGCCCAGGGGGUUUAGUGAUGCUGACCCCAGCCCCUGUUUCCAUCCGCUGGCCACAUGGUUGAUUCGGGGAUGGACACACGACCCGCAUCCUCCAAUGAGGGAUGGCCCUGGGCUGUGGCUUGGACUAUUAGAGUCUCUGCAGGUUGGGCUGGCUAAGCUGGAAGGACGUGAGCUGCAGCUUUCCCGGCCGUGUGCGCAUGUGCCCAUGUGCGUGUGAGUUCGUGUGUAAAAGCAGAGGAAAAGGUCUGGAGGAGGGCCUCAGGCUGCGGACGUCCAUCCUGGGCAGCCCUGAGCUUGGGACUAAACGGGGGGGAGAUGCUCUCAGUCCUUGGAUGUGACCUACACGGUCCAUGGACGCCAGCCCUCACACCUCCUGCUCUUCCCAGUCGGGCUGUCCAGGGGGCUUCUCUGGGGAGAGCAUCCACGUAGACCACUCUCGCCAGGAUCCUCCACUUGGGGUCUGCCUAGGGGCCCCGGGCGAGGACCAGCGCCGCCAGGACGUGGUGGGGCCAAGGCCUUCGCUUCUCAGCAUUGUCUUACCGUCUUCCCAGGAGCAGCUGGUCUGCUUGCGUAACUGAGAAUCAAUAAAAAUGAGAACAAGGGAAGUGUAAGUGUGGGUGUUGGAUGCAAAAGGUUGACUAGCUCAGAUAGGAUCCUUCUCCAAGAGGGGGCCCCCCAGGGGAGGUGGUGGGCUUAGACCAGGCCCCCGGGCCUUCCCUCGAGCUGUCGUGGGGCACGGGUCGCGUGCCUGAAUCCCUGCCCUUGUGCGGCUGACACUGGGUUGGGGAGAGAUGAAUCGGGUAUGGCCAAGUGUGAGACAAUGGCCCCCAAAGACAUGUGGUCCUGACCCCUGGUCCGUGAACGUGUUCCUGUAUGUGGCAAGAGGGGCUUUGCAGAAGCGAUUAAGUUGGAGAUACUGAGGUGCGGGCUGUCCUGGAUGGGCCGGGGGGACCCAGGGUCAUCACAAGGGUCCCUGUAAGCGGAAGGUGGGAGCUGCGGGUUAGGGAGAAGGCCGUGUGGCGAUGGGAGCAGAGGUCGGAGUGCCACAGCCGGGGGGCCGAGGGGCGCAGCUGCCUCCAGGAGCUGGGAGAGGCCAGAGCAGCUUCUCCCCAGAGCCCCAGAAGGACCAGCCCUGCGCAUGCCUGGCCUUCAGGCCAGCAAAAGGGAUCUCGGGCUUCUAGCCUCCAGAACUGCAAGAGAAUAAGUGUGUCUUGCUUGACGCCGCUAAGUUUGCAGUCAUUGUUAAGACGGCUGCAGGACACUCGUAGGCCCUUCUGUCAGAGGUGCAGCGUGCAGUGAGGACGGGCAGCGGGUCGGGAGAGCCAGAGGGGAUGGCAGCAUUAAAUGGGAGGGUCAGCCUAGCAAAGGCCUGAAGGAAGAGUGGUUCAUGUGGAGAGGACAGCCAGGGCAAAGGCCCUGGGGCAGCGCCUGUGUGUUUGACAAGCAAGUCUUCUUGUAAGGACACCAGUCAGAGUGGAUUAGGGUCCACCCCAAUGAGCUCGUUUUACCUGAAUCAGCUCCGUACCGUCUGCAAGUGCAGUCACGUGCUGAGGAGCCGGGGGCAGGACUCCAAUAUAGGGCUUUUGGGGGACACAAGUCAGCCCAUAACAGACACACAGAUGGAGGGGAGAGGUCAGUGGGGUGAGGGCCGUGCAUGGGGGGCUCGUAUAGGCAGGGAGGCUGUGAGGGCUGGAGUGCAGGACUGCUGGCUUCCCCGGUCCUGCUCCGUGUGGCCGCGCAAGCUGCAACUCCUGGUCCCGGCGCUGGUCCCUCUGCUGAGCUGAGUCCCCACCUCCAGGCUGUGUCGGGGGGAGAACCCCCAUCCCUCCCGCCCCGUCGCCCAACGAGCUGAGCCGCAGCCUCCAGAGAGGGCGUGACAGGAAGAGCAGCUCUGGUUCAGAAGACUUGUGCUCCCCUCUCCUAUCUGAAGAGGAGGUGCUGACUGCUGGGGCUGGCUGUGAGGCGUGCGGGCUGAGUCUUGUCUUCUGUGCAGGAGGAGUCUCUGCCCCCUCACCCCCACGGUCUCUGUGCAGGAGGAACGAUUUUAGGCACCUUGGAGAAACCCAGCUUGAGGGAGAAAAUCAGGGGUCUGGCUUCAGGCAUGGCUGACUCAAGGGCUCUGCACUCGACUCUCGUUUCCUGGGCUCCGCUUCCUCCGUUUGGCUGGAUUCUCCUGGGAGGAGGUGGCCUGACUGCUCCUGGCUGACCCCAUGCUCCCCACGCCUGCCCAGAAGAGAAGUCUCUUUGCUAGUUUCAGACAAGGGCUGGAUUCUCUUUCGGCCCAGAGCCCAUCCCCAGGCCAAGCGGAGGCGAGUUCUGAUCGGCCAGCCUAGGUCUUGGGCGAGGGUGGGCCAGCUCCCCCCAGCACCGCGUGGGCCGAGUGGGGGAGGGCCAGCUCUCCAGAGGAAAAUCGGGGUGCAGGUGCCAGAAGGGGGAGUUGGGGGGACAGAGGCAAGACAGUGGAGGGCCGGCACCCCCUUCCUGGGUUGUCCAAUUCCUGCGCUCCAGGCUCCAGUCUGAGGGCGCACAGAUCCGACUCAGUGAAUUCCCCUGGCCACCCCAUGCACAGGCUCUGCAGCUGCCCCCAAGGGAGGAGGAACGGAAGCUGAAAACCUGCGUCCACACGCACACUUGUGCGUGCGUGUCCACUGCAGCAUUAUUUGCAAUCACUGAAAGGUGGCAACGAGCCAGAUGUCCACGGGUGGAUGAAGCAAUAAACGAGAUGGGGCGUGUCCACACAACGGAGCAUUACUCAGCCCUAAAAAGGAAAGGGGUUCGGAUGCGUGCUGGGUGUGGAGGACCCUUGAAAACGCUGUGCUAAGUGGAAAAACUGGACACAAAGGCCGCAUAGUGGACGAUUCCAUUUACAGGAAACGUCCAGAACAGGCACAUGCAGAGACACUGAGUGGAUUGGUGGCUGCCAGGGGCUGGGGGAGGGGGGUGCGGGGAGACUGGUAGUGAGCAGCUGGUUUGUUUUGGGGUGAUGGGAUCUUCUGGAAUUCAACAGUGGCGAUGGCUGCACAACUCUAUACUGAAGCCCACUGAACUGUCCGCUUUAAGAGGGAGACCCGUGUGGUGUGUGAGUCACAGCUUCAAAGGAGAGAAGGAACUGCGGGGCCGAGGGUCGAGGGCUUCGCCUGUGCCGCGCCCCAGUCUGUGCUUUGUGCCCUGCUCGUCCCGCCCACCGUGCAGUGAGCAGCCACUCGCAGCGCUGGGCACGUUGUAAAGCUGAAAAAGCGCCAAGUCAGUGUGUCACCCAACCUGAGCCGUGCCGCGGUCUCACGUGGCCCUGAGAAGGCAAACCGGGGCGUGCUGCUUCAUCACUUACGGCUUUUGUUGCCAACGUCUUGGCAGAGCUUUUCUGGGCCUAGCAAGACACAGAUCUCCAUUACGGUCUCUAGCAAAUGGACAAUGAAGGACCUGCCUCGGGAAAAUGCACUGGGGAGGCGCUCGGAAAACUUCCCGCGCAGUCGGGGCUGUGAAGUCCCCCAUGCGGCUGUGGGAUCUGCGCUCAGCCAGGUGACGUCCUUGUGCGGGGCAGCCUGGGGAGGCGAUGUACUCUGUCUUAAAAAGUUCGUGGAGGGGCUGGCCCCGUGGCUGAGUGGUUAAGUUCGCGCGCUCUGCUGCAGGCGGCCCAGUGUUUCGUUGGUUCGAGUCCUGGGCGCGGACGUGGCACUGCUCAUCAAACCACGCUGAGGCAGCGUCCCACAUGCCACAACUAGAAGGACCCACAACGAAGAAUAUACAACUAUGUACCGGGGGGCUUUGGGGAGAAAAAGGAAAAAAAUAAAAUCUUAAAAAAAAAAGAAAAAGUUCGUGGAGCAGCCCAGCCGGGCUGAGUGGUCUGGUUCUCCCUCUGAGUCCAGCUCAGCUGAGGAGCUAAAGCUGUUUCUCGACGGUCUCUGGGGUUUCCCUCCAAAGCCCCUGCAGCAGGGUGGCUGGUGUCCCUCCAAAGUCACGUCCACCCAGAGCCUGAGCGUGUGAGCUGGUUUGGAAAAGGCUUGUUGCACAUGGAGUUAAAGUUAAGGAUCUCGAGGGGCCGGCCCGGUGGUGCAACAGUUAAGUUUGCACGUUCCACUGCAGCGGCCAGGGGUUCGCCGGUUCAGAUCCCGGGUGUGGACAUGGCACUGCUUGGCAAGCCAUGCUGUGGUAGGCGUCCCACAUAUAAAGUAGAGGAAGAUGGGCACAGAUGUUAGCUCAGGGCCAGUCUUCCUCAGCAAAAAGAGGAGGAUUGGCAGCAGAUGUUAGCUGGGCUAAUCUUCCUCAAAAAAAAAAAAAGUUAAGGAUCUCGAGAUAAGGCCAUCCUGGAUUAGGGAGGGCCCUCAAUCCAGUGACAAAUAUCCUUACAAGAAGAGAUGAGGAGGGAGAAGAGACAGAGAGAGGUGGAGGUGAUGUGGUGAUGAGACAGGGACGGGAACGAUGCAGCCACAAGCCAGGAGGGCCCAGGAGCUGGAGAGGCGAGAACAGACUCUCCCUCAGAGCCUCCAGGGGGACCCAGCCCUGGACGCCCGCACCUCGGACUUCUGCCUCCAGAGCCGAGAGGAUCAACUCCGACUAUUUUCAGCCCAGUGGUGGUGGUUUGGGACACCGUCCAGGACACUGCCUGUCUCUCUGUGCCCACCCGCCUUCCUUCAGGCCGUUCCCUAAGCCAGAGCCAGGACGACUUUCCCCACAGGUGAAGGGAUAGUGUUGCCUGCCUCACACCCAUCAGUGGCUUCCAGCUGCGCUUGGAGGACAAAUCCCAGCUCCUCCCCCGGCCUGUGGGUCCUGCCCCCGGCCCUGCCCAGUCCCCUCAUCCCCACUGGCUCCCCAGUCCAGCCGGAGCCCCUGACCCGCCUCCUCUCCCUCUGUCACUCCAGGCACAUUCCUGCCUCAGGACCCUUAUGCCGGCUCCUCCCAGCCCCCACAGCCCCGUAGCUCCCUCUGGACCGUAUUACUCCCCACAGGUCUCUGCCCAUGUCUCUUGUUGGAGGCGUCUCCUUGCUCCACCCUCUCUGCACAGCAUCCUUGCUCUCACCCCGCCCCAGCCUUGUUCACUGCCUGCCAUCUGGUGUGUCCUCGUCUGUUCGCUCUCAUGUCCCUCAGGGCCGGGGCGCUUUGCUGUCCUGCUCAUGCUGUCUCCCCAGCAGCACCUUGGUGGUCUCGAGGGGAGGCUGACCCAGUCCCCUUCAGGGCGGCAAGGGGACGAGAGGGCACCCGGCAGGCAUCUCCUGAUCUCCCAGCCCCUCAGCGUCCCUGCUCCAUCCCUUCAGUGUUGGGGGCCCCCAGCGACUGGCUCUGGGUGGCUCCCCUUGCCCUGCACAUGUCCUCCCGGGCUGACCGUCAUCAUGCUGGACGCUCUGGUUGCCUGAUGCUGGAGCUCUGGCCUAUCUGACUCCUGCAGCCGCGCCUCCUCACCAGACAUCCCGCGGGUAAGCCACAGGCCUGCAC